rnacentral:rRNA from 1 species
GGUGAACGCUGGCGAUGUGCUUAACACAUGCAAGUCGAGCGGGGUGAUGGUGCUUGCACUAUCACUUAGCGGCGGACGGGUGAGUAAUGCUUAGGAAUCUGCCUAUUAGUGGGGGACAACAUCUCGAAAGGGAUGCUAAUACCGCAUACGUCCUACGGGAGAAAGCAGGGGAUCACUUGUGACCUUGCGCUAAUAGAUGAGCCUAAGUCGGAUUAGCUAGUUGGUGGGGUAAAGGCCUACCAAGGCGACGAUCUGUAGCGGGUCUGAGAGGAUGAUCCGCCACACUGGGACUGAGACACGGCCCAGACUCCUACGGGAGGCAGCAGUGGGGAAUAUUGGACAAUGGGGGGAACCCUGAUCCAGCCAUGCCGCGUGUGUGAAGAAGGCCUUAUGGUUGUAAAGCACUUUAAGCGAGGAGGAGGCUCUUUUGGUUAAUACCCAAGAUGAGUGGACGUUACUCGCAGAAUAAGCACCGGCUAACUCUGUGCCAGCAGCCGCCGUAA